UGCGUAGGUGGCGCGGUAAGUCGGGUGUGAAAUCUCGGAGCUUAACUUCGAAACUGCAUUCGAUACUGCCGUGCUUGAGGACUGGAGAGGAGACUGGAAUUUACGGUGUAGCAGUGAAAUGCGUAGAUAUCGUAAGGAAGACCAGUGGCGAAGGCGGGUCUCUGGACAGUUCCUGACACUGAGGCACGAAGGCCAGGGGAGCAAACG
rnacentral:rRNA from 1 species